rnacentral:rRNA from 1 species
AUUGAACGCUGGCGGCAGGCCUAACACAUGCAAGUCGAGCGGAUGAAGGGAGCUUGCUCCUGGAUUCAGCGGCGGACGGGUGAGUAAUGCCUAGGAAUCUGCCUGGUAGUGGGGGAUAACGUCCGGAAACGGGCGCUAAUACCGCAUACGUCCUGAGGGGGAAAGUGGGGGAUCUUGGGACCUCACGCUUCAGGAUGAGCCUAGGUCGGAUUAGCUAGUUGGUGGGGUAAAGGCCUACCAAGGCGACGAUCCGUAACUGGUCUGAGAGGAUGAUCAGUCACACUGGAACUGAGACACGGUCCAGACUCCUACGGGAGGCAGCAGUGGGGAAUAUUGGACAAUGGGCGAAAGCCUGAUCCAGCCAUGCCGCGUGUGUGAAGAAGGUCUUCGGAUUGUAAAGCACUUUAAGUUGGGAGGAAGGGCAGUAAGUUAAUACCUUGCUGUUUUGACGUUACCAACAGAAUAAGCACCGGCUAACUUCGUG